ACGAACGCUGGCGGCGUGCUUAACCCAUGCAAGUCGAACGGAAAGGCCCUGCUUUUGUGGGGUGCUCGAGUGGCGAACGGGUGAGUAACACGUGAGUAACCUGCCCUUGACUUUGGGAUAACUUCCGGAAACUGGGGCUAAUACCGGAUAGGAGCUCCUGCUGCAUGGUGGGGGUUGGAAAGUUUCGGCGGUUGGGGAUGGACUCGCGGCUUAUCAGCUUGUUGGUGGGGUAGUGGCUUACCAAGGCUUUGACGGGUAGCCGGCCUGAGAGGGUGACCGGCCACAUUGGGACUGAGAUACGGCCCAGACUCCUACGGGAGGCAGCAGUGGGGAAUGUUGCACAAUGGGCGGAAGCUUGAUGCAGCAACGCCGCGUGCGGGAUGACGGCCUUCGGGUUGUAAACCGCUUUCGCCUGUGACGAAGCGUGAGUGACGGUAAUGGGUAAAGAAGCACCGGCUAACUACGUG
rnacentral:rRNA from 1 species